rnacentral:pre_miRNA from 1 species
GGGGGGAGGCCGGAUCCUGGGCUGUGUCCCUGGUGCCCAGUGCUCAUGGGCCUGCACUGUUGGAUUUGCGCUCCUGGCUGCUCAGCCCCCU